rnacentral:rRNA from 1 species
CGCAUCUGUGCAUGCAGCAUAUCAAUAAGCGGAGGAAAAGAAACUAACAAGGAUUCCCCUAGUAACGGCGAGUGAAGCGGGAAGAGCUCAAAUUUGAAAUCUUAAAGGGUUUCCCUUUACGAAUUGUAGUUUAAAGAAGUGUUUUCUGUUGAGGUUCUGGUAAAAGUUCUUUGGAAUAGGACAUCAUAGAGGGUGAGAAUCCCGUAUUUGACCUUUACUUUCAACUUUGUGAUACACUUUCAAAGAGUCGGAUUGUUUGGGAAUGCAGUCCAAAAUGGGUGGUAAAUUUCAUCUAAAGCUAAAUAUUGGCGAGAGACCGAUAGCGAACAAGUACCGUGAGGGAAAGAUGAAAAGAACUUUGGAAAGAGAGUUAAACAGUACGUGAAAUUGUCAAAAGGGAAGCGUUUGACACCAGUGUUGUUUUUCUGAAAAUCAAUUAAAGAACUGUUUAUGCUAAGUUGUUUAGACUUUAUCAGCUAACUGUUUAGUUUUGAGCUUUUCUUUAAUGCACUUUUCAGUUAACAAGUCAACAUCAAUUUCUUUUGCUGUAAAAAAGCUUGAGGAAGGUGGCUUGAGAUUCGUCUUAAGUGUUUAUAGCCUCUUGCCUAUGCAGUCGGAGAGAUUGAGGUCUGCAGCGUAGAUCCUUCGGGGCUAAAUGCAUUUGUGCUAAGUUAUAGCCUUUCAUAGACAACUUGUUGACUAUGAUCUGUCAUGUAGCUUACUCGCUUAUGUCAUUUUACCUACGCUUAGGAUGUUGAUAUGCAUGACUGAUAU